CAGCAAUGAUGAACUUAAACAUAACGUGAACAAAUCAUGUCGAACAAUUAAGAGCUUUUUAACCCUGAGCUUU